rnacentral:rRNA from 1 species
UGGGGAAUAUUGCACAAUGGGCGCAAGCCUGAUGCAGCCAUGCCGCGUGUAUGAAGAAGGCCUUCGGGUUGUAAAGUACUUUCAGUCGGGAGGAAGGUGGUAAGGUUAAUAACCUUAUCAAUUGACGUUACCGACAGAAGAAGCACCGGCUAACUCCGUGCCAGCAGCCGCGGUAAUACGGAGGGUGCAAGCGUUAAUCGGAAUUACUGGGCGUAAAGCGCACGCAGGCGGUUGAUUGAGUCAGAUGUGAAAUCCCCGGGCUUAACCCGGGAAUUGCAUCUGAUACUGGUCAGCUAGAGUCUUGUAGAGGGGGGUAGAAUUCCAUGUGUAGCGGUGAAAUGCGCAGAUAUCUGGAGGAACACCGAUGGCGAAGGCAGGUCACUGGGCCAUUACUGACGCUGAGGAGCGAAAGCAUGGGUAGCGAACAGG